rnacentral:rRNA from 1 species
GGCUAGAACCAGCCAAGCCGCGUGAGGGAAGAAGGUACAGAGUAUCGUAAACCUCUUUUGUCGGGGAACAAAAGCGGGGACGCGUCCCCGUCUGCGUGUACCCGAAGAAAAAGCAUCGGCUAACUCCGUGCC